AUUGAACGCUGGCGGCAUGCCUUACACAUGCAAGUCGAACGGCCGCGCGGGCUUCGGCCUGGUGGCGAGUGGCGAACGGGCGAGUAAUUAAUCGGAACGUGACCAGCCGAGGGGGCUAGCUCGGCGACAGCCGGACUAAUCCAGCAUACGAUAUGAGGGUGAACGGGGGGGUUCUUUAGUACUAGAGGUUUUUGCGCGGCCGAUGGCAGAUUUGCUAGUUGGUGGGGUAAAGGCCUAACAAGGCGACGAUCUGUAGCUGGUCUGAGGGGACGACCAGCCAAACUGGGACUGAGACACGGCCCAGACCCCUACGGGAGGCAGCAGUGGGGAAUUUUGGACAAUGGGCGAAAGCCUGAUCCAGCAAUGCCGCGUGUGGGAUGAAGGCCUUCGGGUUGUAAAGCACUUUUGGCGGGAACGAAAAAGACGGUGCCAAUACCACGGUUCGAUGACGGUACCCGCAGAAUAAGCACCGGCUAACUACGUG
rnacentral:rRNA from 1 species